UACGUAGGGUGCGAGCGUUGUCCGGAAUUAUUGGGCGUAAAGAGCUCGUAGGCGGUUUGUCACGUCUGCUGUGAAAUCCCGAGGCUCAACCUCGGGCCUGCAGUGGGUACGGGCAGACUGGAGUGCGGUAGGGGAGAAUGGAAUUCCUGGUGUAGCGGUGGAAUGCGCAGAUAUCAGGAAGAACACCGAUGGCGAAAGCAGCUCUCUGGGCAGUAACUGACGCUGAGGAACGAAAGCGUGGGUAGCAAACAGG
rnacentral:rRNA from 1 species